rnacentral:lncRNA from 1 species
GAAACAACUCAAGAACUACAGUUCAUAGCAGAGUUGGAGUGAAAAGAGCUCCUGGACUCUGGCAUGCAGACGCUAAUGAAUAGUGUCUUUAAGCUGCUGACACUGGGAUGAAUUCACUUCAACAUUUUCUGUCCUGAGCCAUUCGAUUAAAGAUGCACUUACCCUUGAGAGUUUCACAGGUCCAGCUCAGCCCCGAUCGUUUGUCCACCACUUGGCGGGGGAAUAGAGAGGGGAGGCACAUUGAUUGGCAGUUCCCACAAAGCUAUGGAGAGUAGGGAGGGGUAGUUCCUUAAAAAAAAAAAAAAAAAAAAAAAAAAGAUUCUAGGCAGGUACUCCCAACCCAGAUCUACCAUACUGCAUGGCUGUGCCCAGUCCAAAGAUCUCCUCCCCAGUUUUCCAGUGAUUCCUGAGAUGUGGGAUAGCCAAGAGAAAUUGCACCAGGCAUUUCUUUAAAACAGCAGGGAAGAUUAUUCAAGACUAUUGCAAUAGGGGAGAUUGAACUCAAUGCCAUUUGAAACAAAAAGUGGAAGAGUUUUUAAAUGCUGGGGUGAGCUAAUGGAAAAGUAUUGGAGGAGAUUAGGCAGGAGGCUAGUCGAUGUGAUUAGGCCUUCUGUGUUUGCUAAUUGAAAUGUAUUGAAGUUAGGCUCCUACUCUCCCACAGAGAAUAGGAGAUGGUUCUGCCUUUCUUGAUGUUUACAUUUCAAAGGGAGAGAUCCCAGGUCUUCAGAAAGACAAUCCUGGGUUGUACACCUGGUAAGAGUCUGAAAGAAGAUUUACAUCUCAAAAGGGGAGA